GAAAUAUUUUUCAGAGAGCCAUUGGAACAUAACACAUGUGCAUCUGUCAAGAUUGGAAAGCAGAAAACAUACAUGAGACACAGUUGGGCUGUUCAAUUUGUCAACUACGUGGGGCAAGUCAACUGUCUCCUGAAUGCAAUAUGUAAGAAUGGCUAAAGUGAUAGGACUUGAACUCUUCCAAGCUCCGGGCCUUUUGGCUCCGGGCCUUCUGUUCUUCUUGCAUCUCGUUAUGAUAGCAAUUAUAGUCCAAACAACAUCAUAUGGCAAUGAUUUAAUUGGCUCAAGUACUGCUCCAAAUCUUAGCCUCAGUCCUAUAGACAGAGAAACUAUCCUCAAG
rnacentral:lncRNA from 1 species